GAAGAUUGCUCAUUCGAGUGCCUGCUCUACAAUUUUUCGGUUUUGAACCUAUCCCUUUGCUGAGGGCUCAGGGAGGUGUACCUGGGCCUCUCCCUUCACUUGUGGUGGAACUACCAGGGGUACAGGGAUGAAAUCACACCAGUGCCUGCGCCCCCUGGGGCCUGUGGGAGCCUUGUGCACGGCCAAAUCUGUUAAGAAAAUUGCGUCUGGAGGGAGGCGCGGAGGGCACUUCCUGAACUUGUGCCCACCGGUGCUAGUAUAUUCGGAAUAUUCUUCAAUUUAUUUUGACAUUCCAAGAACUCGCAGCAGAGAGCUAUAGAGAAGAAUGUAUUUAAUGAAGAGAAGGCAAGCAGAGAAUAAAGAAGAAUGCUCCCCUUUAGAUCUCCUAAUGAUGUGCUGUGUUGAUGGAUACAUUCUUUGCCUACCUGAGAUCUAUUGAUUUUAUGCACCAGUUUAUUUUCAAUAGGUAACAGCAGGCCUGGACUGAAAUGCAAAGUAGGUCCUGCUAUUUCAAGUACACAGAGGCCCAAACAUCGGCUCAACCAACACACUAAAUAGUGACUGCCUAUGGCAUCUUACUGCCGCCCCUCCGGCAUUUGCCAGAAUCCAGGCCUGUCCGGGCCUGAGUAACAGGUCAACCAAUUUAGUGCUCAAUGUGUGCUGUGUAACUGUAUUAGUAUUCUGACACAAACCUGUUUCUUUCCAGUUAGUGUAUGUAUAUGUUAUACUGCUUUUACACUUAUUUCUGAUUCCCCAGACAUUGCAGGAGCCACCUUUGACUAGAAAAAUCCCAAU